GACGUAGGGUGCGAGCGUUGUCCGGAUUUAUUGGGCGUAAAGAGCUCGUAGGCGGCUCGUCGCGUCGACCGUGAAAACCCGCAGCUUAACUGCGGGCCUGCGGUUGAUACGGGCGGGCUAGAGUUCGGUAGGGGAGACUGGAAUUCCUGGUGUAGCGGUGAAAUGCGCAGAUAUCAGGAGGAACACCGAUGGCGAAGGCAGGUCUCUGGGCCACUACUGACGCUGAGAAGCGAAAGCGUGGGGAGCGAACAGG
rnacentral:rRNA from 1 species